CCUACGGGUGGCAGCAGUCGAGAAUCAUUCACAAUGGGGGAAACCCUGAUGGUGCGACGCCGCGUGGGGGAAUGAAGUUCUUCGGAUUGUAAACCCCUGUCAUGUGGGAGCAAAUUAAAAAGAUCGUACCACCAGAUGAAGAGACGGCUAACUCUGUGCCAGCAGCCGCGGUAAUACAGAGGUCUCAAGCGUUGUUCGGAAUCACUGGGCGGAAAGCGUGCGUAGGCUGUUUCGUAAGUCGUGUGUGAAAGGCGCGGGCUCAACCCGCGGACGGCACAUGAUACUGCGAGACUAGAGUAAAGGAGGGGGAACCGGAAUUCUCGGUGUAGCAAUGAAAUGCGUAGAUAUCGAGAGGAACACUCGUGGCGAAGGCGGGUUCCUGGACAGUAACUGACGCUGAGGCACGAAGGCCAGGGGAGCGAAAGGGAUUAGAUACCCCUGUAGUC
rnacentral:rRNA from 1 species